UAGGAUCUACAAAGCUAUUGAAAAGUUGGGCUGGUCAAAACCAACUUUAAUUCAACAAGAAGGUAUUACUCUCGGGUUAAAUGGGAAAGAUAUUGUUGCAAGAGCAAGGACAGGUUCCGGAAAGACCGCUACUUACUUAAUACCUAUUAUAUCUCACAUUUUAAAGUUGAAGCCGUCAUCACCUCUAAGUGUGAAGUGUUUAAUCCUUGUUCCUACCAAGGAAUUAUGUGAGCAAGUUUAUCAGCAAACUUGUGCUCUUUUAAAAUAUUGCGGAACGGAAGUAACUUUACUAGCGUUGUCUAGUUCUGUUUCUCUUUCUGCUCAAAAACCAGGUUUAUUGGAGAAGCCUGAUAUAGUUAUUGCCACUCCAAGUAGAGCUCUUGCUCAUCUUAAGUCAAAG